AGAUUAAACUGAAGAGUUUGAUCCUGGCUCAGAUUGAACGCUGGCGGCAUGCCUUACACAUGCAAGUCGAACGGCAGCACGGAGCUUGCUCUGGUGG
rnacentral:rRNA from 1 species